UGUACCUGGUGUGUGUGUAGUUACACGACCACAAUCAGGUUACGACCACAAUCUAUCGUGCCUUUCUCCCGGAAGCCACCGCCGGCGAUACCACGGCGACGCCGUCAGCCGGAUCCUUCACUGGCGGCGGGACAAUAGAGCAUCUGCUUCAGUGUUGAAAACAUGCUGGGAAGUAAUAAGGGUGGGGAGAAUCUCCCAACAAGCUCGAAGAGGAAUGAAAGAACUGAUGAUCUCACAAGAACAUCCACUACGAAAAAUAGAAUUUGCAAUGAAGUAGAACCAACCGAAUCUGUGACUGCAGGCCGCUUGCACCGAAACCCAAUUCAAGUUGUAUGGAGUGAGCUCUCAGCGAAGAAGUUGCAUCAAAUAUGUCGAAAAGUGUUGUUUCGAUUGCUCUGUGCGAUGGUGAUUAUAUGUGCAUUCAUACUCUUCUCACUUUCCGAAAUAUACAUCUAAGACUACUAAUUACAAUCCAUUUCUGUGACGUUUUUGUGUAGGAGAUACUAUGUUAUUUGCAUGCUCAGGCAUACCUGUACAAUGUCUGGGGAAUGUUACUAGGUUUGUGACUUCAGCAAGCUUGGUUAAAGCUUUCAAUGAUCAAA